rnacentral:rRNA from 1 species
GACGAACGCUGGCGGCGUGCUUAACACAUGCAAGUCGAACGGUAAGGCCCUUUCGGGGGUACACGAGUGGCGAACGGGUGAGUAACACGUGGGUGAUCUGCCCUGCACUUUGGGAUAAGCCUGCGAAACUGGGUCUAAUACCGGAUAGGACUACGCGAUGCAUGUCGUGUGGUGGAAAGCUUUUGCGGUGUGGGAUGGGCCCGCGGCCUAUCAGCUUGUUGGUGGGGUGAUGGCCUACCAAGGCUACGACGGGUAGCCGGCCUGAGAGGGUGUCCGGCCACGCUAGGACUGAGAUACGACACAGACUCCUACGGGAGGCAGCAGUGGGGAAUAUUGCACAAUGGGCGCAGGCCUGAUGCAGCGACGCAGCGUGGGGGAUGACGGCCUUCGGGUUGUAAACCCCUGUCAGCACAGACGAAGCGUAAGUGACGGUAUGUGCAGAAGAAGCACCGGCCAACUACGUG